rnacentral:rRNA from 1 species
AACGAACGCUGGCGGCAGGCUUAACACAUGCAAGUCGAACGCCCCGCAAGGGGAGUGGCAGACGGGUGAGUAACGCGUGGGAAUCUACCCAGUUCUACGGAAUAACCCAGGGAAACUUGGACUAAUACCGUAUACGACCUACGGGGGAAAGAUUUAUCGGAAUUGGAUGAGCCCGCGUUGGAUUAGCUAGUUGGUGGGGUAAUGGCCUACCAAGGCGACGAUCCAUAGCUGGUCUGAGAGGAUGAUCAGCCACACUGGGACUGAGACACGGCCCAGACUCCUACGGGAGGCAGCAGUGGGGAAUAUUGGACAAUGGGCGCAAGCCUGAUCCAGCCAUGCCGCGUGAGUGAUGAAGGCCUUAGGGUUGUAAAGCUCUUUCAGUGGGGACGAUAAUGACGGUACCCACAGAAGAAGCCCCGGCUAACUUCGUGCCAGCCGCCGCGGUAAUAC